GAGUUUGAUCCUGGCUCAGAGUGAACGCUGGCGGCAGGCCUAACACAUGCAAGUCGAGCGGCAGCGCGGGGGCAACCCUGGCGGCGAGCGGCGGACGGGUGAGGAAUGCAUCGGAAUCUACCUCGUUGUGGGGGAGUAACCUCGGGAAACCGGGACUAAUACCGCAUACGACCUACGGGUGAAAGUGGGGGACCGCAAGGCCUCACGCGAUGAGAUGAGCCGAUGCCGGAUUAGCUAGCUGGCGGGGUAAAGGCCCACCAAGGCGACGAUCCGUAGCUGGUCUGAGAGGAUGAUCAGCCACACUGGAACUGAGACACGGUCCAGACUCCUACGGGAGGCAGCAGUGGGGAAUAUUGGACAAUGGGCGCAAGCCUGAUCCAGCCAUGCCGCGUGUGUGAAGAAGGCCUUCGGUUGUAAG
rnacentral:rRNA from 1 species